GAUGAACGCUAGCGGCAGGCUUAAUACAUGCAAGUCGUGGGGCAAGCGUUGGUAGCAAUACCGGCGCCUAGACCGGCAAACGGGUGAGGAACACGUACACAACCGUCCCUUCGAGUGGAGAAUAACCCGGGGAAACCUGGACUAAUACUCCGUAACAUGUUGAAAAAGGCAUCUUUUUAAUAUUAUAGCAGCAAUGCGCUUGAAGACGGGUGUGCGUAUGAUUAGGUAGUUGGCGGGGUAACGGCCCACCAAGCCUACGAUCAUUAACUGGUGUGAGAGCACGAUCAGUCACACGGGCACUGAGACACGGGCCCGACUCCUACGGGAGCAGCAGUAAGGAAUAUGGUCAAUGGACGAAAGUCUGAACCAGCCAUGCCGCGUGGAGGAUGAAGGUCCUCUGGAUUGUAAACUUCUUUAUAUGGGGCGAAAAAAAGGCUUUUCUAAGUCGUCUGACGGUACCAUAUGAAUAAG
rnacentral:rRNA from 1 species